GGGGAGAUUGAGGGGGAUAACGAACAUGGGCCAAUAGGUGUACGGGGCGGCCGCCAUUCCAUAAGGAUUGAACCCAUUUGUUGCCAACACAACACAUACAUUACGAGCCUCUAGAGCUUUCUCAGGAUAAAUCGCAUCAAAGCAUGUCCAGGCUUCAGCAUCGGAUGGGUGUAUCAGCUUCUCAGGAUUGUAUCGACGUCCAUUUUUGUGCCA
rnacentral:lncRNA from 1 species